GAUGAACGCUGGCGGCGUGCCUAGUACAUGCAAGUCGAGCGAACAGACGAGGAGCUUGCUCCUCUGACGUUAGCGGCGGACGGGUGAGUAACACGUGGAUAACCUACCUAUAAGACUGGGAUAACUUCGGGAAACCGGAGCUAAUACCGGAUAAUAUAUUGAACCGCAUGGUUCAAUAGUGAAAGACGGUUUUGCUGUCACUUAUAGAUGGAUCCGCGCCGCAUUAGCUAGUUGGUAAGGUAACGGCUUACCAAGGCAACGAUGCGUAGCCGACCUGAGAGGAUGAUCGGCCACACUGGAACUGAGACACGGUCCAGACUCCUACGGGAGGCAGCAGUAGGGAAUCUUCCGCAAUGGGCGAAAGCCUGACGGAGCAACGCCGCGUGAGUGAUGAAGGUCUUCGGAUCGUAAAACUCUGUUAUUAGGGAAGAACAAAUGUGUAAGUAACUAUGCACGUCUUGACGGUACCUAAUCAGAAAGCCACGGCUAACUACGUG
rnacentral:rRNA from 1 species